rnacentral:rRNA from 1 species
UACGUAGGGGCAAGCGUUGUCCGGAAUCAUUGGGCGUAAAGAGCGUGUAGGCGGCCAGAUAAAGUCCGCUGUGAAAUCUCGAGCUCAACUUCGAGCUGUUCGGUGGAAACUGUCUGGCUAGAAUCCGGAAGAGGAGAAUGGAAUUCCUGUGUAGCGGUGAAAUGCGCAGAUAUCAGGAAGAACACCCGGUGGCGAAGGCGGUUCUCUGGGACGGUACUGACGCCUGAGACGCGAAAGCGUGGGGAGCGAACAGG